GGGCUGUGCAUGAGGGAGUCAGCCAGAGAAGACUGAUAACUCCUUCUUCUGUUAUCAAAAGUAUUGGACAUGGCAAUUUAGUGGAAUUUACAAAUCUCAAGGAAGACAUUUGAAUGUAAGUACAGACACUAUACGCAGUCUCAGACAUCUGACUUUUUGAUUGCCUAUUGUUACGAAUUUGCUCUGUCUCCAUUACUUUCUGGUUAUGGUAGCUCUCAGAAGGGGACUUUAUUUCAGCAGAGUUUCAUAUUGUGUUUAUAAUCUCUUACUACUAACAAAGUCCUGGAAGAUGGGCUUAACCUCUGCAAUGUGAGCAUGCAGAAGAAAAAGGGUCUGUGAAUUAAUUCCAUACAAAAAAGUAAAUUCAGCUGGGAAGCUUAAGGUUUUUCAUAUUCUCCUUGGCAUCAAAACCUCCAUGCACAUAGUAAUAGGGACACGUGACAGCCCCCUUGCUUUCUGAAGUUUUCCCUUUCCCUUUGAAAAGAGAGCCAAUAAUUUGAAAAUCUGUCAGGAGUGGCCCAAAAUCCAACAAUGGGUAGCACAUUUAUAAGUCAACCCAAGAUGAACAUAAAAGGGUAAUGACAGAUUACUGGCCAUGAAA
rnacentral:lncRNA from 1 species